GUAUGUCUACAUCUACAAUUUUGCAGCGCUGGUUGUUACAGCUGUAUUAGUACAGCUGUAUAGGGCCAGCGCUGCAGAGUGGUCACACUUACAGCAACCAGCGCUGCAAGUGGUGUUAGAUGUGGCCACACUGCAGCGCUGUUGGGCGGCUUCAAGGGGGGUUAGGGGAACGCGAGAGCAAACCGCGGGGAAGCAGGUCUCCUUCCCCGCGGUUUGCUCCAGUGUUCCCCGAACCCCCGUGCAAGCAGGUCUCCUUCCCUGCGGUUUGCUCCGGUGUUUUUUGAACCCCCGUGCAAGCAGAUCUCCUUCCCCGCGGUGUGCUGUCGCGUUCCCCGAACCCCCGUGCAAGCAGGUCUCCUUCCCAGCGGUUUGCUCUGGUUGUUCCCCGAACCCCCGUGCAAGCAGGUCUCCUUCCCAGCGGUUUGCUCCGGUGUUCCCCAAACCCCCCUGCAAGCAGGUCUCCUUCCCAGCGGUUUGCUCCGGUGUUUUUUGAACCCCCGUGCAAGCAGAUCUCCUUCCCCGCGGUGUGCUGUCACGUUCCCCGAACCCCCAUGCAAGCAGGUCUCCUUCCCAGCGGUUUGCUCCGGUGUUCCCCAAACCCCCCCUGCAAGCAGGUCUCCUUCCCCGCGGUGUGCUGUCGCGUUCCCCGAACCUCCCUGCAAACCGCGGGGAAGGAGAUCUGCUUGCACGGGGGUUAGG